rnacentral:rRNA from 1 species
GAUGAACGCUGGCGGCGUGCCUAAUCCAUGCAAGUCGAGCGAGCGGCGGACGGGUGAGUAAUGUCUGGGAAACUGCCUGAUGGAGGGGGAUAACUACUGGAAACGGUAGCUCAUACCGCAUACCAUCAGAUGUGCCCAGAUUGGAUUAGCUAGUAGGUGGGGUAACGGCUCACCCAGGCGAAGAUCCCUAGCUGGUCUGAGAGGAUGACCAGCCACACUGGAACUGAGACACGGUCCAUACUCCUACGGGAGGCAGCAGUGGGGAAUAUUGCACAAUGGGCGCAAGCCUGAUGCAGCCAUGCCGCGUGUAUGAAGAAGGCCUUCGGGUUGUAAAGUACUUUCAGCGGGGAGGCGUUACCCGCAGAAGAAGCACCGGCUAACUCCGUGCCAGCAGCCGCGGUAAUAC